rnacentral:lncRNA from 1 species
UCUAUGAUAAUAACCUAGUCCACGUCCAAUACCAACUAGUAUUGGAGACUCACUUUAUUUAUUUCUUUAUAAAUAAAUACAGAUUACAAAACAGAUUUUAACAAAAAUUAAUUAACAAUUAAGUUCCCUUGAGCUCUCUUGCUCCUUGUGCACCUAUGCACCCUUCAAGUAACUUUGCUUCCUUGAACCUGUUUGUAAACUACUUUUCUAAUCCACCAGGAUUAAAACCUUUAGACUACACUUAGUCUAACAAUAGAAAAAUCAAUACAAUAUAGAGGUCUAUGAUCAAUGCAAGAAUAAUCAAUUUAACAAUUAAAGGGUCAACUAUAUGCAAUGAUCAAGUAGCACAAAAUAAGCAAUUAAUUUCUUACCGAAUAUCACCUCAAAUAAUACAAGAAAUUAGACUGCUUAGCUUCUCAAUAAUUGCACUCAGUAAAUCAAUUUGCUCAAUAACAAUAAUAAGUGCAAUGAUAAUUUGCGAGUUCUGUAUUAAUCACUGAUCUCA